rnacentral:rRNA from 1 species
UACAGAGGGUGCGAGCGUUGAUCGGAGUUACUGGGCGUAAAGGGCGCGUAGGCGGUUAUAUGAGUGUGCUGUGAAAGCCCCGGGCUUAACCCUGGGAAGUGCAGUGCAAACGAUAUAACUGGAGUAGAUGAGAGGGUGAUGGAAUUUCCGGUGUAGCGGUGAAAUGCGUAGAGAUCGGAAGGAACGUCAAUGGCGAAGGCAGUCACCUGGCAUCAUACUGACGCUGAGGCGCGACAGCGUGGGGAGCAAACAGG